UUUGCCAAAUGCAAGCAGUAAUGACUGGUAUAAAAAUUUUGGCUGCUGUGUUAGAUGAGCUGGGCACGCUGCAAAGCUGUGGCUUGCCGAUCUCCUGCCCCUAGUUCUGCAGCAGUUCCACCAGAGGUCUGCCAUCAGGAGAAGAGCCUUGUUGCCAUAGUUGUAUCACAGGCUGUGGCACAAUGUGAGUCUGCGUCACAGCCUAAGGAUGUAACAGGGGAAAGUAAGGAAAACCUGUACCAUCAGCUCAUACCCAUUAAUAACUCUGGGUUUUUUUCACUUUGAUUUUUUCCUUUUAUUUUUUCAUGCUGUCACCAUUUUUCACUGCUGUGUGAGCCAACAGUACCAGCCAAAGAGUCCCUCAGAGCCAUCCCUACCCCAAAGUGACUAACCCUACCUGGGGCUGCAGAGGGAUGGAUGUGCUGUAUGCAGUUUGGCUCCACACAUAUUUCUUGCAUGAGAAGGAUGGCAUUGAAUCACAUCCCAGAAUUUGCUGGGUGCUGCCAGAUGUGCUAUGGCAUUUCCUCAGAUUGAAUCCAGAGUUUGCUGCCUACUUGCCUGGUGCUGCAACUCCUGCAACAUCUGCACUUCCCCCAGUCAGAGGAGAUGGGUGUUAGGAGGGCAGUUCAACAUCCAGUAUGAAAACAUGAGGUGAAAAUUAAUUAUAGCAUAUACUAUAUGUGAUAGAAAUGAGUUACUGCCCAAUUAUGUCUCCUGUUUCCAUUCAGAUGAAUUAAUGCUUGUUGUGAGCCCUUGGGAAUUCAGACACACUUUAAACUUGUAAUGAGUGCUAUCAUUAUUGCU